UUCUGCAAAGACUUGCGCUGGUAUGGUUAGAGUGAUCGCUUUUACAGACAUCAAGCCUUUCCCCAUCCCGAGUGCAAGCAAGGCUGAAAAUGGAGAGCUAUUAAAAGCCUUGUUCCAAAUUCAGGUGGUGAAUUGGAUGCCGGCUGCAGGAAAGGAAGGGUGUUUAAGAUAUAUAAAAGAAUGGAAGUAAAGGCAGGAGCUGAAGCAAUUUCCAAGAAGAGGCAAGAGGAGGAUGAUUUACUGUGAGCUGUAAUGAGACAUAGACUCCUGGUUUCAUAAAUUCAGGGCAGCACCUGAGAACUUAUACAACGAAGGCACCAUCUGUCAGAGCAUCAUCUCUGUGUGCAGGUUGUAGAUUUGUCUUCAAACCACUUCACAGAUGUCCACUGUGUGUCCCACCUGAAUGUUAAAGUAAAGUAACCAAGAGACUUGGCAGCCCACGUCAGGGCUGCCAGCUCCAGCAAUGAACCAAAUUUAGAAGCUGUUAUAUGAAGAAUCUACAGGACAUUAAAUUUAAAUGGUCUCCUUGCAUAAAUGCCUCCUAAACUAGCACAGAAGAAAACCCAGAGCCCAUCACAAAAACGCUGCCGAUAGCCAAAUAAACUCCCUUAUUACACAAUAUCAGUGCGAACCAAGGAGUACCUUCCCGGCAGAGGGGCUCAGCAGCAGUUGCAGCUGGGAAGCUGAUGAUUCCUCUGUAAUAUAUUCAGUGCUAGUUAUUGGCAAGAAGCAAAAGAUGUGAAGUAGGAGUUUAAAGAAGAAAAACAUCAUGAAGAUAUAAGGUCUUUCCUGACUUUUCCACAUCAUGCCAUUUUAUUCAAACAGACCAUGGUCAGACUUCUAAAAAGCAAAUUGCUAGCUGACAGCUGGAUCCACCUCUAUGAUAAAUUAUUGGACUCAAGAGCAAGCUGGAAAUCCACUGCAGGAUCAUCAGACACAGUGGAGUUGGUUUGUAUUUACACUCUUGUAACCAAGCUGGGGAUUUGGUUCCCAGUAUUAAGGAGUCUUACAUAAGCAAGAUUUGCUUUUCAUUAAGUUCCAUGUUGACAGACAUAAAUCUUCACUAUGAGUCCUUUCUAAUUUAUAUUUUGUUAGGAUAGGCUAGUAUGCACAAUUUUUUUCCUAAUUCGUCUGCUGCAUUGUAAGGCUUUUAUUGUGCUUUAAAGUUAUUCCAGUAUUUUCAUCCGUGUUGUCAGGCUUCAUCCCCCACUGGUCUUUUUCCUUAGAAAAUGUAGGUGACAAAUAUCCACAAACUCUGGUAAGAUCUGUGCCAAAAGGAAAGUUCAAAACAAUAAAGCUCUAGCCAGAAAAGCUAUAUGGUAGGUGAACGGUUUGUUCACAAUUCCUAUGCCUCUUUUCCAUCUCAGACCUACUCAAACCUUCCUGUUAGUUUUGUGUUUUUUUGGUGGUGGUAAGUUUUAUCUCCCCCCCCCCCAUUCUGUUCAUAUUGCUGGAUGAAACCAAAAGGGAGAAGCGUACAGCAGCACCCUCUUUAUUCACCCAUAAGAAGGGAUAAAAGCCUUCUUUUCUCAUGGAAAAAUUAUAGAUGCCUUAAAAUCUACUAAUGUGAUAAAUUUCAUGGCUAGUUUAGGUGCUUUCUGAUAGCAUUGGCUGGGUGUGAACAUAGGGGAAAGAGUAAGUGAGCAAUUUUCCACUGCCAGAAGAGGCUGGGGUUGAGCUUUCUCCACUUGAAGACUGACGUUUGUAGGAUCUGAGUGGUCAAAACAUUAUUAAAAUCAUAGUAAACAAAUAAUGUUUUGGAUCUGUAUCUGCAGCAAGGUGAGUUUGAGGACCAAGCUUAAGUUACAGUACCGGUACCUUAAUUAGUGUGGGCCAGUAUCAUCCACAGUAUAAUCAAAUUAACUGGAAAUAUGGUGGAAAUGAAUAGGGAACUGUUGCCACUUGUAACUUCUCUGUAUGUACGAGUUUUUACAACAGAAUUCUCAAAACCUUGCGGAGGAGGGGGAAGCAACCAGCAGGCAAGAAAUAAAUGUCUUCCUCUUUCAUCUAAAUUUAACUAGAAAAAUAGUCACAAUAAAAUUAGGGAUGUGCUGAACUAUCCAUGGGAGGUUCUGAUCCAAUAUUAGCCUACUUACCCCAUUACUUAUCUUCAAAUGAACACACCACCAGCAGAAAGGAUUUAGGUUACAUUUGAGUAAUCCAAAUCUUGUAGGUAGUGGGGUUUAGUGAAACUGGAGCACUUGUUACUAUAAUUUAACUACAGAAAACAGCAUUUACUAAAGUAAGAGGUCUGACUUUCAAGCACAAAAGCAAGGAGGUUUGUAGCAGUAUUGGUAAGGCUGGAGUGUCAGUCUGGAUUUUCAGCCUUAAGUCAGAAUUUCCUUCAUUUUGUGGAUUUGUCAAACAUUUAACUGUGUUUUAAUAUAAACAUUUUUUUCCUGACAACAUUCAAACCUCCGUAAUACAGCCUUUUUAAGGAAAGAAAAAAGAAAAAAAAAAAAAAGUAGUAGUAAAAUGAUGGUGUGGCUGUGGUGAGGUCACUGUCUUGUGUGCACGCCGCCAUGGUGGGAGCUGGACACCUGAGCUCCUUCCUCAUCAUCAUGUGCUGGCAAGCUGGGACCUCUCCGGAGGGGUUUCAAUUCUCUGUGCCUCAGUUUCUUGAACGAUCACCUGAAGAUCAUAUUUACAAAUCUCUGAAGAUGUCCUCAUUAAUUAGUCAGAAUAUAAUAUGUGCAAAGUGGUUUAACAUGCUUGGAUGGAGAGUGUUACAGAACAUUUCAGAGGGGAUUGUAAUUGCCAGUGACCGGAGAGAACCUCAACGCAGAGUACGUGUCAGCACAGUUCACCCCUUCGGAGCAUCUUCAAUUAAAAUUGCUCAAGGACAGGAGCACUCAGAUUCCCAUUCCUGCCAGCCUGUUAAAGAGUGAUAAAGGAAAUGGGGGACUGCAAUUCUACAAAAUGAAUUUUGGAUUGGAUGGAACACAUCUUUUUUUUUUUUUUUUUUUAACAUGUAUUGAAUAAAAUACAGUUUUCCAAAUUUUCCAAAUAGCCCAAAUUUCUCCUGGUACAAUUGCCAUUAUAAAAUUUACUAUAUCAAAGGAGAAAACAUCACCAUGUGGAACAGAAAUAUGUUAUGAAAUUCCAUUAAAUCAUAUUGUGCACUGAAAGUGCUGUGGCCUGGUUUUAAUUCUGCAAUAUUCAACAAAUACUGAACUAUAGCACAGUCUCCCAUUUAUAUCUUUAAAUGGGAGUGCAACAUUCUCAUUUGUAAGUGUUCUCUUGAAAGUGCACUGUGAGUUGCUUAGCCACUGAUUAACAGAGGUUAUUGUAAGGGUCUCCCAAUUAAUAAAAAUAAAAAUUCAGUUGUCCAGCUGUCAAACACGGAGCUGCAUUUCUUAUGGUGCAUUCAUUAGUUAAAGCACUCUCAGUUACUACUUUCUAUGUUACAUCACGCUUGCUUGCUGAGCUAGAUUAUGAAGACAAAGUUCACUCGUUGGUGGAAUAAGUUACCCUAAUUUGAAUUUGAAAUGGAUGACAUCCCAUUAUUUAGCUUAAUCUAAAUUCAGAAAAAUAUGCAAUUAAAAGAGCUACAUUACCUAUACAAUUUAAAUCCUGAACUGCCUCUAAAUAUCCAGCUCUGAAAGGUAAUAUUUGGACCAUGUAUGAGAAUAUAAGAAAUAAUCACCAAGGGCGGACAGACAGUAAUUGUUACAGAAGAUAUUAAAAAGAAUGAGAAAGUCUUUUAUUAGAUUUCCACCAGGAUAAACAAGCACUGAGAAUGAGUAGGUCUAAUAAGAAGUGAUGUAGGUGUUGAAAUACACCACCAAUUCACUGAAUGCAAAAACUAUAUUUAUUUAUCGCUGUUUAUCAAAAAAAAAAAGCUCAAGAUGGAAAGUUCCAAAGCAUUGCCAAGGUAACGCUGUGCUGUGAGAUGUGGAAGCCCUGCAUGUCCUCAGGAGCCACUACUGCUCGCACCCAGGUGUGCCGGUGUUGGCAGCAACUGCAGCAGUGCCUGACCACUGGGCAAGACGACAGGUUGUGUCAUCAAUACUAUUUUGGGACGUUCUUUGCAGGUUUUUAUCCUACAUACAGACCUAGUCCUUCAGUUCAGAAUCUUAUUGCUUUUCUGAGACUCAAGAAUUAUAUUAAUUCUCCAAAGUUAACUAUCUGUGGCUAAAUUAAAUCUUUACUUUUUCAAGUUCUGAUUUGUGUACCUAAUGACAUAAUAAAGCUCUUUGUUAUCAAUAAAA